UUUUCAUAACUCCCCGUUUUUGGUUCUUUUGGUUCUUUCUCUUUAUGUGAUUUGUUUCUUUAUCAAAGCGUCCACAAAUUUGUGAUUUUUUUACUGUUAUAGUGGCAUCCUUUUUAUUUAUUUAUUUUUAAAUUAAGUAUAAAUCAUAUUUUUUUUAUGGUUGGAUAUUCCAACCGUGGUGAUAUAUUUUCCUAUUUUUAAAUUUAAAUGAUUUAAAC
rnacentral:lncRNA from 1 species